rnacentral:rRNA from 1 species
GCUGGUGAUUAUUCUGGAGGGGCCACACCUCUUCCCAUCCCGAACAGAGUCGUUAAGCCCUCCAAGGCCCAUGGUACUUAGGGUGUAUACCCUAGGGAGAGUAGGUAGUCGCCGGCU